AAGCGAAACCACCCAACAACCUACCUCUGUUCUCACAGUGACCAAAAGGCCUAUCCCAAACUCAAACAUAGCCAUUGGAGUGUCAAGUGAGGGCAAGUAGCGUAGUAUUCUUGAGGUGAUGAUGGCUUCAACCAAGGCUCCAUUUUGACUACAACAAGCUUUGCUUAAUACAUAGUUCCUCUCAGCUCUCAGUUCAUUAUUUUUUUUCCCAGAGAUUAAAAUGGGGACAUUUACAGUUCUGGGUGAGGCCAAUUUUGUGAUACAUUCCCAGAUUGAAGCCUUUUGGUGUUCUUACCUCGUUAGGAAACUGGAGAAAUGAGUGCUUGAAAUGGUGGUAGAAACAUAACCCAACAACAUUAUUUUAACGCUUCAAUUGCAGAGAGGUUUGAGCUCUUGAACUUUAACUGUAGUACUCAAAAGCAGGCAAAGCCUGAAGCCAUUAUUUCCUUUUAGUGUGACUUUUUUUGAGAAGUCUACGACAUCUGGUUCACUGUGGAAAAGGUCAGUUCUUAUGUUCUAUGUGGUUCUGCUAUAUACCUGGUUUCUCUUCUCCAUUCACAUGUUUUUGGUGUCAUUCAUCCUGUACUUCUGAUGGUUCAAAUGUAGUAUGAGUUAUGAGAAUUUUUUCUUUUUUUAUAACUACACUUUUAGUGCCCCAUUUUUGUUAAUUUUAUUUUAAUAUUUGCUUUCCUUUUU